CUGUAGGUGUGGUUACGAUUGCAAAAUGGCGAGGGGGGAGGUAAGUUGUCUUUGCUAGGCCAUUUUGGGCUGAGGGGCCCUGCAGAGAAGUACAGCUACCUUUCUGGUUGGGUGAAAGCAUCUGCCGAGUUGGAGUUGCCCUAGGCUGUGGCCAAAUUUACCAGAAAUUAACCUAGAAUCUUAGCCCUUCAGUGGUCCAUUGAUAAAUGUGGGUUUGAAAAUGCCAAGGCGAUGAUGACUCUAUGAAAGGUUUCGGCAGCUGGUGUGUGUAAGAAAUGCGUAAAACGGGAGCCUUGGGGACAGGCCACAUUCUGGCAAUACACAGUUGGAGGGCUUUCUGUCAGACUUUGGGCCGCUGUACUUGGCACUCGACACAUCCUCUCAUCCCUUCAGAUUUGCAGAACACGGUGAUUGCAGUAUUGUGAGAGUCUACUGUUACGUUGGUCGGAAGCCCUUGCUUUUCUCACUUGCAGAACAUAGGGCUGAGGAUUUGGCUGUUUCCAAGUGCUUGUUACACUUUAAACCCAGGAUUUGGGCAAAUGGAAAUGGUGGUGUGAAGGUGACCUGGGUUCAUACCCUUUCCUCGAAAUUAUUUUUUUCUGCAAAAUUUUAGCCUAGGGGGAAGACUUUUUUAGGUAGCCCUACUGUCGUGGAUCUCAAGAGGGCUGUCAGUGAGGAUCUAUUGUAAAUCACUAAAACUAACAGUUUAGCAUUUAAAUAUGUAGCAGAAAGGGCACAGGAUUCAAAAUUGAAGAGACAGGUCUUUUCUAGUAAUCCUAGUUGUGAUCUCCUAGUGGUCCUUUUCCUUCUCUGGGCCUAUUUCUCUAUUUAUAACAAUAAUUGUAUUCAAACGUCUGUAGCACUUAAAACUAUGUGUCAGGUACUGGUCUACCUGCUUUCACACGUGCCUCAACUCAUUUAGUACUUUCGACAAUCUUAUGAAAUAGCAGUACCGUUAUUCAGAUUUUACAAAUGAGAAAUGUGGGGGACACAGAUUAAGUAAUUUGCCCAAGGCUUUACAUCCAUUUGAAUGGCUGAAACUGGAUUUUUGUCCAGGUUGUAUGGGCCCAUAAUGCUGUGUUCUUAACUAUUAUGCUUUAAUUCCCUAAAAUGAGGGGGCAAAUUUAAGGGACCCUUCUUUUAUGAUUUCAAAAAUUUUUUUGUAACUUACCUGUGCUGUUUAAGAAAGGAGACCUGUUUGCUCUUGGCUACUUUUUACUCGGUGCAUCCUACAGGGUUACAUAUGUAGAAGACAAAAAAGUAAAAAUUGUUGAUUUGCAGCCUACCGGGGCGGCCAUCCUUACCUACCCUUGUCUUCUAUGCUUUUUGUUCUGCAGAGGGUUUAAAAUGGCCGACUGCGGCAGGCUGGACACACCCAUCUUGUUUUGCCUGAUUGGAGAUCUGGUCAAAUGGUUUGAGAAAGCAGUCUUUUGCUGCGGUAGAGAUUUUUUUCUUACCCAUUAUUAAUAUUAUGGUGUGUUAAUACAAAUGUCCAAUAGUAAAGUCAGGUUAUUGCCUUUUUUCCCUCUUAUAAUAGAAGACUGAAAAAACAUGCGUUUCUUUUAUUAUUGGUUAGGAUAGAUUCACUGAAGUGGAAUUACUAUAUCAAUGCGUUUUUAACAUUCAAUAUGUACUGAUAAAGUUCAUUCCGAAAAGGUCGUACCAAAUUUUACUCAUACAAGUAUUAAGUGGUGUUUGUUUUUUAAAAAGAUGUUAUGGAUAAAAACAAGUAUUAUUUUAAUUUUGCAUUUCUUUGGUUAUUAGUGAGUUUGGACUCCUUCCUCCAUAUAUUUCUUAGCAGUUUAAUUUUCUUUCAUGUGAUGUUAGUUCGUGUCUUACACGAAUAAAACUCUGUUGGAGUUUUUAGUUUAGUGUUAUUGUUAUUAUCUGUUUGAAAGUGUUUUUCAAAUAAAGGCUAUUACUCAGAUUUCUGCAUUGUUAUAUACUCCAGGUUAUUGUUUACCUUUUAAUUUUUGUUUUCAAAUGUUUGGUUCGUAGAGAUUUGAAAGCAAGUAGUAACUUUGUCUAUCUUCUAUUUUGUGAUUUUUUUUCCAUUAAGUUUGAAUAGUUCCCUCAAUCUAGAAAUUUGGUAAAUAUUCAUUGUAGCUUUGUCUGAGGAUAACCAUCAGGUAUAGGGAAGAAGGAUCUGUAAUUUUACCACCCAGAGAUAACCAGUGUUUAUAAAUGUGUUCACAUCUUUUCAUUCCCUGCAUUUUUCUACAGUUGAUCAUGUAUUUGUACUGUUUUAUGUUCUGUUUUGUGUUUAACAUUAUAGCAUGCAUUUUUCCAUGCUAAACAUUGUUUGCAGUUGUCAUGUAAUGGUUUCAUGAUAUAUUGUUGUAUGGAAAUAUUUUAGGAUUUUCAGUAAAGUAUUACAAUGAAUGUCUUCAUUUUCAUUUAGUUUUUAUUGUUUAUCUAUUUUGAGUUAUUUCUUUAUAGAGUUCCAGAAUUAGAAUGGUUCAUCAAAAAGUUUGAACACUAUAGAGAUUUGCUACAGUAACAUUCCAAAAAAAUAUGUCAUUUUUUUGUGCCCAGGUAUUUAGGUAUUUAGAAUAUUGUUUUUUGCUAACUUUAUAUUGUAAAAGAACGAUAUCUUUGUUUUAUGAUCCAUUUCUCUGAUUAUUGGUGAGGCUGAAUUCUCAAAUGUUAAUUACUAACUCUUCCUUUUGUGAACUAUUCAAUUUGGGUAUGAAUGUUAAAUAUUUGUAAGAGCUGUGUAUUAUGUGUUCUGUAUAAGGAUCUAUUAUCCUUGUCAUUUAUUGCAAAGGAUACAUGUGAUUUGUUGCACAUAUACUCCUAGCAUAUGUUGCCUUUGAGUCUUAAAAAAUGUUUGUGAUUCCAAAGACAACUGCUUUGUGGAAUACCUGUCAGAUUCUUGGUAGCCAUUUUGAGAUAAUGUUUCUUUGUCCUUUAAAUAGGUAGCUAUUUCUUUUUAUCUAAAGGAGAGCAGUCUUGAAUGCUGCAUAGCAUUAUUGCACCCUGGCUAUGGAUGUGGGAAGAAGACAUGGCAACAUUUUGUCCCUAAUAAGAAACCAACUUAUACAACACACAAAACAGUAGUACCCUCGCCCCCAUCCAUUCUGGGACUGAUCUUAUUUUGAAUAUUCACGAGUGAUGUGGGAGACGGUAUGGACAUAGUGCAAUGUCCACAUAUAGAGAGAACACUAAGCACUUUGAGGGUGUAAAAUGCUGGUAGGAACAAACUGUAACACCUGAGAAGGCAUUGUGAGUGUGGGCUGACCGUGGUAGAAUAGAACAGUGUAGGCAAGAGCAAUAUAAUGACUUCAGGGGAAACUAAUGUGUUAAGCGUAUAAAAUAGUGGCCUCAGAGACAUUGAAUCCCAAGAUAGGGAUCCCAGUGUAAAUGGCAACAGUUUAUUGAUGUCAUCAGCUCAAUUUGCUGGUGCAGACACAAAAGAGCCAUUAAAAACAUAGGCCCUAUUAAGAACAGUAUGGGAUGCAGAAAAAUUCCAUCCUGUCUUUGUAUAAAACCAUCUGAGCCAAGUGACUAGUAAUCUCUUCACAAGAAGUCUGUUACUGUAACUCAGUUUUGAAAAGUGGUUGGGAAGAGUAUAUUACCUCAUUUCAUUUUUCUUAUUUAUUAUGAGGUAGGUAAUUUAGAGAAUCUUUAAUUGUAUUAAGUAAAUCUUUCUAAAUUAUUAUUCCCAAUACAUGAGCUAUAUACUAUCUCAUAUAUGUAUUUAAAAACAUUCUAAUUUUUAUAUUUUCAGUUAAUGGGGGGGGGAUUAUAGGAUUUAGAAGUGCCAAGUCAUUUGUUACAUAUUGCUUUUUGCUAUCCAGUUACACUGGGUUAAUCUAGUUAGUCAUAAGCUCCCAUUUUUCAGCAUUUUGUUAGUUGCAGAUGUUAAACCAGGCUUAGGUAUGGGGGUGGGGAGGUUGACAGAUGUAUAAUAAGCAAAACAAAACAAGAACAGAGCCUGCAUUGUAGAGAAGGUGGUGGUGAAGUUCCUUUCUAGAGGUCUAUGCCUACCUUAAGCAUAAGAAUCCUGUCAUGCCAAUAUCUAGUUCCUGAACCCAUCUCUGAUCGGGAGUUAGGGAGAGCCUGGAUAUUUGAAAUAGCCUAAAAGCAUUUAACCUUUGAUUUCCACAAUUUGUUCCUCCCCUCUGUUGAUGUUACAGCCAGCAGCAGCCUGGAGCAGCGCCCCUGGAAAGAAAUUUUACAUCGGCCAUUAUAAUACAACCUGAUAAGUGUUACAGCACUUACCAGGUUGUAUUGUAAUUGUCUGUGUAUAUGCCUGUCUCCUUUCCUAUGUUAGCAGUUAGACUGUGAGCUCCUUGAGGGCAGGGACAGAGUCUUCUCCAGAGCCCAGCCUGGCACAUUAGUAGGCUUCAGUAAAUGUUUAUUGGAUGAAUAAAUGAAUGACUCAUCAACAAACAUUUAUCGUGUGCCUGCUAAGGUGAUCUCCACAGGCUCUGGACUGUCAACUGUUUAUUCAAAAUGCAUGUGGUCAGAAACUUGGUGUUUCUUUCUGAUUAUGUAUCUAUCGUAAGAGUUUUUCUGAGAUAAUGCUAUUUUUUUUGUGUGUUUGGAUUUCAGUCCUUGGUAUUUACAGAUGUUGCUACUAUUGUUGCUGCUGACAGCCUUUUCCUUGGUGGGACCUGGGUGAUAGCUGCCAGAUCAUGAGCCUCAUCCUCACUGCCCAGUGUUUGCUCAAUGGUUCCUGUUUGUAGAAUCAUCCCCUUUUCACCCCUCCUCAGAUCAUCCUUCAAAUGGUGUUCCUAGGUAGGGCUCCACAUUCUAGAUAUAGGUAGAGAAAUACAGCCCAUGGACUGCCUGGUUUUGCAAAUAAAGUUCUAUUGGAUCACGUGUUAUUUGUUGAUAUUUGGUCUGUGGCCCUUUUGGCCUGCAAAGGCAGUGUUGAGUAGCUCCAUCAGAGAUCCAGUGGCCCAUAAAGCCUACCCUUUACAGAAAAUGAUUGCCUACCUUGCUUUGGAUCAUUACCUAACAGUGAUGGUUUAAUUUCCCUCUCCAUUCACCAAAGAUACUUCUGGCAUCUCAGAAACUCAUUUAUUUACCUCAUUCGUUACUGCUUAUAACAAGUCUUUUUCUUAUUUUACAGAUGGGCCAGCUAGAACGCAUCAACUAGAUGCUUAUAAGGCCUCCACCAGAGUCCUACAGUCAGUCAGUUAUACCAUGUACUUCAACAGCAAGUUUUGAGCUUCAUCUCUAGAAAUUCCUUUUGUUAUAUCCUAACCUGAAGAAUGUGGCCAUAUCAUACCUUGGCGCCUUAUGCCUUGACCCCCUCCUUCCUACACAGCUCUUUGCAGUGAGAAUAUGGAAAAUAACAAAUUAAUGUGAGAUAAGGCAGACAGGUAGGCUGAGGCAAAUGUUUACAGGGUCUGAAUGCUGAUGCACAAAGAAAUGGGGUUUCUGAAAUAUUCACUUGCUUAGACUUAAUACAGUUAAGGAGCCUGGACUUCCAAGAGCUUAGGACCUUCCCCUUUACCAUCCCUAACCUCCCACACUGUUGUCUUGGUUACCUGCCUGUGGAUAUAUUGUGAUUCAUUUCAGGUCAUUAAAAAGUUGAGAGCUCCCAAGUCCAAUUCAAGAAAGCUAGAUCUAAAAAAAAUAAAAUGGAAAGAAUAUAGGAUAGUUUCAUUUCAGGAGUGAAAUGGAGAGAAAGGCCUUACUUACAGCAUUAUUUUUCAAGCUGCUUGCUGGAUUUUUCCCAGCAUUCUAUUAUGAAAAAUUUUAAAUAUACAUAUAGAAAAGCUAAAGAGUUGUACAUUGAAAGCCCAUCUAUCUACCAACUAGAUGUUACAACUAACAUCUUGCCAUAUUUACUUUAUUGCAUAUUCAUCCAUCUUUGUCAGAUAGGUUUUUAAAAUGUUUGUGUUGUCAUCCAUUUUGAUCUCAUCUGUAUCUGACCCGCGUGGUACUGAAAAAAAAGUUUCUUUGGAUUCUUCUCUGUAUUUCCCAAGUUGGGGAAUACUACUGCAGCCUAAAUAUGUGGGCUGAUCUGCCUGGCAGUGAGAUUCCAGGGAGAGAAGCCAUUUGCUUUCUGAAAGAAAAUGGUUGCUGCUCACUGUUUAGUGAAAAUGGUAGGAGAAGGAAGGAUGGAAGUCCAGGUUCCAGUGUCAGUGAAUCUUCUAAUUGUAUAUUGUUCUACACUCCAUUCACUUCACUGCCUUGCGGGGGUCAGGGGUAGGGGAGCAGGUGGUUUUCUGAGCAGCUUCUACUUGGUUCUUACCUUUUAGACUUGAUGAAAGAAAAACAACGAAGUCACAUCAAAAUGCCACUGAGGUGAUUUAGCAUUAGCACAAUUCCUUGCAAUUUUAGCAGAUGGAUUUUUAAUUUGGAGUGCUGUCAAAUAAUAUUCUUGUGGACCUUUUCUAUUAGCAACAGCUGCAGAGUCCAUUUAGGAAUCACCAUGAACUGAAAUCUUAAUUUAUCCUCAUUAUGAACAUGAUAAUGGUAAAUGUUUCCAGUUUGUGUCUGUCUCCCUUCAUUUAAGCUCAAGAGCAGAGACUGUAUCUUACUCAUCUUUGUAAUUCUCUUAGUAAUAAAUGUUUGUAUUCAUAAGAAA